rnacentral:rRNA from 1 species
UACGGAGGGUGCGAGCGUUGUCCGGAAUCACUGGGCGUAAAGGGCGCGUAGGCGGCCUGAUAAGUAGGGGGUGAAAUCCUGCGGCUUAACCGCAGGGCUGCCUUCUAAACUGUCAGGCUCGAGCACAGUAGAGGCAGGUGGAAUUCCCGGUGUAGCGGUGGAAUGCGUAGAGAUCGGGAAGAACACCGAUGGCGAAGGCAGCCCCCCUGGGCUAACACUGACGCUCAUGCACGAAAGCGUGGGGAGCAAACAGG